rnacentral:rRNA from 1 species
CUGAAGACCUUACCCGACUUAGCUGAGAGGUGGUGCAUGGCCGUCGUCAGUCGUACUGUGAAGCAUCCUGUUAAGUCAGGCAACGAGCGAGACCCACGUCCACAGUUGCCAGCAUGCCCUCCGGGGUGAUGGGUACACUGUGGAGACCGCCGCUGCUAAAGCGGAGGAAGGAGUGGGCAACGGUAGGUCAGUAUGCCCCGAAUCUCCCGGGCUACACGCGGGCUACAAUGGUUGGUACAAUGGGCAUCUACCCCGAAAGGGGAAGGAAAUCUCUUAAAGCCAAUCGUAGUUCGGAUUGAGGGCUGCAACUCGCCCUCAUGAAGCUGGAAUCCGUAGUAAUCGCGUUUCAACAGAACGCGGUGAAUACGUCCCUGCUCCUU